UAGGAGAGAAGCUUGCUUCUCUUGAGAGCGGCGGACGGGUGAGUAAUGCCUAGGAAUCUGCCUGGUAGUGGGGGAUAACGUUCGGAAACGAACGCUAAUACCGCAUACGUCCUACGGGAGAAAGCAGGGGACCUUCGGGCCUUGCGCUAUCAGAUGAGCCUAGGUCGGAUUAGCUAGUUGGUGAGGUAAUGGCUCACCAAGGCGACGAUCCGUAACUGGUCUGAGAGGAUGAUCAGUCACACUGGAACUGAGACACGGUCCAGACUCCUACGGGAGGCAGCAGUGGGGAAUAUUGGACAAUGGGCGAAAGCCUGAUCCAGCCAUGCCGCGUGUGUGAAGAAGGUCUUCGGAUUGUAAAGCACUUUAAGUUGGGAGGAAGGGCCAUUACCUAAUACGUGAUGGUUUUGACGUUACCGACAGACUAAGCACCGGCUAACUCUGUGCCAACAGCCGCGGUAAUACAGAGGGUGCAAGCGUUAAUCGGAAUUACUGGGCGUAAAGCGCGCGUAGGUGGUUUGUUAAGUUGCAUGUGAAAGCCCCGGGCUCUUCCUGGGAACUGCAUUCAAAACUGACGAGCUAGAGUAUGGUAGAGGGUGGUGGAAUUUCCUGUGUAGCGGUGAAAUGCGUAUAUAUAAGAAGGUACACCAGUGGCAAAGGCGAGCACCUGGACUGAGACUGAUCCUGACGUGCGAAAGCGUGGGGAGCAAACACGAUUAGAUACCCUGCUAUUCCACGCGGUAAACUAUGUCAUUUCCCGUUGUGAGCCUUGAACUCGUAGUGUUGCAGCACCGCUUUAAGUUGACGCCUGGGAGUAUGGACGCAGGUUCAAAGUCAACGAGUGUCUGUGCCCCAGAUCGCAGACCAUGUGGCUUGUUCUAAGCACGAAAUCAACAUUACCACCCUUCCCUUCAAUGAACUGUCUGACUGGAAGAUGUCGUCUGGACCUUUCGACACGUGCACACGCUCUCGCUGCUCAGUCAGGCCCUUCGCUCAAUCUUGAUGAUUCACCCUAGACCUACUUCCCACCCCGUGUAGCGGGCGCUCUAGUGACUGCCGUUACAAUUUCGAAGUGGCACCGAGAGUGCAGACUUCGCAUGCUGGAAUAGUACAUGCAGACAAGGUGCGCCCGUAGUGAGCC
rnacentral:rRNA from 1 species